UACGAACUGUGCGAACGUUAUUCGGAAUCACUGGGCUUACAGGGUGCGUAGGCGGCUCAACAAGUCAGGUGUGAAAGCCCCCGGCUCAACCGGGGAACUGCGCUUGAAACUGUUAGGCUCGAGUCAGCUAGAGGUACACGGAACUUCCGGUGGAGCGGUGAAAUGUGUUGAUAUUGGAAGGAACACCGGAGGCGAAAGCGGUGUACUGGGGCUGGUCUGACGCUGAGGCACGAAAGCCAGGGGAGCGAACGGG
rnacentral:rRNA from 1 species